rnacentral:misc_RNA from 1 species
CAAGCUUCUCUCUUGCGGCUCUAUAUUCUCUCGGGAAACAAUCACUCUUUAGUUUCUUUGUCUUUUCAAUGGCUCGCACCAAGCAAACUGCAAGGAAAUCAACAGGAGGGAAGGCUCCACGUAAGCAGCUGGCGACCAAAGCUGCCCGGAAAUCAGCUCCGGCGACUGGAGGAGUAAAGAAGCCUCACCGUUUCAGGCCAGGGACUGUGGCAUUGAGAGAGAUCAGGAAGUAUCAGAAGAGCACUGAGCUUUUGAUUCGCAAGCUUCCUUUCCAGAGGCUGGUGAGAGAAAUUGCUCAAGAUUUUAAAACCGACCUUAGAUUCCAAAGCAGCGCUGUUGCGGCCCUUCAAGAAGCUGCGGAGGCGUAUUUAGUGGGGCUUUUUGAGGACACUAAUCUCUGUGCUAUUCAUGCUAAGAGAGUCACUAUUAUGCCUAAGGAUAUGCAGUUGGCUCGUAGGAUUAGGGGUGAAAGGGCAUAAAUUCUCUUCAAGUCUAUGCCUUCGUAUGAUUGUAUCUAACUUUCCAUCUAUACUACCUCUGGGCUGCAAUUUUAUGUAUUUUGGGUUUUGGAUGCGUUCAGUCUACCAUGUAAAAUUCUCUGGAGAUUUUAUCGAGUAAUUCAAAAAUGGCUUUCAAA